GCAAGUCGACGAUGACCGGUGCUUGCACCGGUGAUUAGUGGCGAACGGGUGAGUAACACGUGAGUAACCUGCCCUUAACUCUGGGAUAAGCCUGGGAAACUGGGUCUAAUACCGGAUAUGACUCCUCAUCGCAUGGUGGGGGGUGGAAAGCUUUAUUGUGGUUUUGGAUGGACUCGCGGCCUAUCAGCUUGUUGGUGAGGUAAUGGCUCACCAAGGCGACGACGGGUAGCCGGCCUGAGAGGGUGACCGGCCACACUGGGACUGAGACACGGCCCAGACUCCUACGGGAGGCAGCAGUGGGGAAUAUUGCACAAUGGGCGCAAGCCUGAUGCAGCGACGCCGCGUGAGGGAUGACGGCCUUCGGGUUGUAAACCUCUUUCAGUAGGGAAGAAGCGAAAGUGACGGUACCUGCAGAAGAAGCGCCGGCUAACUACGUGCCAGCAGCCGCGGUAAUACGUAGGGCGCAAGCGUUAUCCGGAAUUAUUGGGCGUAAAGAGCUCGUAGGCGGUUUGUCGCGUCUGCCGUGAAAGUCCGGGGCUCAACUCCGGAUCUGCGGUGGGUACGGGCAGACUAGAGUGAUGUAGGGGAGACUGGAAUUCCUGGUGUAGCGGUGAAAUGCGCAGAUAUCAGGAGGAACACCGAUGGCGAAGGCAGGUCUCUGGGCAUUAACUGACGCUGAGGAGCGAAAGCAUGGGGAGCGAACAGGAUUAGAUACCCUGGUAGUCCAUGCCGUAAACGUUGGGCACUAGGUGUGGGGGACAUUCCACGUUUU
rnacentral:rRNA from 1 species